GGGAAUCCCGUAGAGACGGGAGCUGCCCCGCAACUGUAAUCGGCGACGAAAUCUGCAAUAUGCCACUAUUUCAAAAUUUGAUUUGAGAUGGGAAGACGCAGAGAGUAGGAAGACCCGGAAGCCAGGAAACCUAUUUGAACAUUAUUUUUAUG
rnacentral:ncRNA from 2 species